AUGACCCACGCUCCUUUAGGCUCUUUAAAUUCCGUGGGUGGCGUAGCUACCGAGAUCAAUGCAGUUAAUUAUGUCUCUCCUAGAAGUUGGUUAUCAACUUCUCAUUUUGUUCUAGGAUUCUUCUUUUUUGUGGGCCAUUUAUGGCAUGCAGGAAGAGCCCGAGCUGCUGCAGCAGGUUUUGAAAAGGGAUGUGUUGAAGGGAUAUCUAUAUGA
rnacentral:rRNA from 1 species